rnacentral:rRNA from 1 species
UAACUGGAGGACCGAACCGACUAAUGUUGAAAAAUUAGCGGAUGACCUGUGGCUGGGGGUGAAAGGCCAAUCAAACCGGGAGAUAGCUGGUUCUCCCCGAAAGCUAUUUAGGUAGCGCCUCGUGAAUUCAUCUCCGGGGGUAGAGCACUGUUUCGGCUAGGGGGCCAUCCCGGCUUACCAACCCGAUGCAAACUGCGAAUACCGGAGAAUGUUAUCACGGGAGACACACGGCGGGUGCUAACGUCCGUCGUGAAGAGGGAAACAACCCAGACCGCCAGCUAAGGUCCCAAAGUCAUGGUUAAGUGGGAAACGAUGUGGGAAGGCCCAGACAGCCAGGAUGUUGGCUUAGAAGCAGCCAUCAUUUAAAGAAAGCGUAAUAGCUCACUGGUCGAGUCGGCCUGCGCGGAAGAUGUAACGGGGCUAAACCAUGCACCGAAGCUGCGGCAGCGACACUGUGUGUUGUUGGGUAGGGGAGCGUUCUGUAAGCCUGCGAAGGUGGCCUGUGAGGGUUGCUGGAGGUAUCAGAAGUGCGAAUGCUGACAUAAGUAACGAUAAAGCGGGUGAAAAGCCCGCUCGCCGGAAGACCAAGGGUUCCUGUCCAACGUUAAUCGGGGCAGGGUGAGUCGACCCCUAAGGCGAGGCCGAAAGGCGUAGUCGAUGGGAAACGGGUUAAUAUUCCCGUACUUGGUGUUACUGCGAAGGGGGGACGGAGAAGGCUAUGUUGGCCGGGCGACGGUUGUCCCGGUUUAAGCGUGUAGGUGUGUGUUCCAGGUAAAUCCGGUUCACUUUAACACUGAGGCGUGACGACGAGGCACUACGGUGCUGAAGCAACAAAUGCCCUGCUUCCAGGAAAAGCCUCUAAGCAUCAGGUAACAUCAAAUCGUACCCCAAACCGACACAGGUGGUCAGGUAGAGAAUACCAAGGCGCUUGAGAGAACUCGGGUGAAGGAACUAGGCAAAAUGGUGCCGUAACUUCGGGAGAAGGCACGCUGACACGUAGGUGAAGUGAUUUACUCAUGGAGCUGAAGUCAGUCGAAGAUACCAGCUGGCUGCAACUGUUUAUUAAAAACACAGCACUGUGCAAACACGAAAGUGGACGUAUACGGUGUGACGCCUGCCCGGUGCCGGAAGGUUAAUUGAUGGGGUCAGCGCAAGCGAAGCUCCUGAUCGAAGCCCCGGUAAACGGCGGCCGUAACUAUAACGGUCCUAAGGUAGCGAAAUUCCUUGUCGGGUAAGUUCCGACCUGCACGAAUGGCGUAAUGAUGGCCAGGCUGUCUCCACCCGAGACUCAGUGAAAUUGAACUCGCUGUGAAGAUGCAGUGUACCCGCGGCAAGACGGAAAGACCCCGUGAACCUUUACUAUAGCUUGACACUGAACAUUGAGCCUUGAUGUGUAGGAUAGGUGGGAGGCUUUGAAGUGUGGACGCCAGUCUGCAUGGAGCCGACCUUGAAAUACCACCCUUUAAUGUUUGAUGUUCUAACGUGGACCCGUUACCCGGGUUGCGGACAGUGUCUGGUGGGUAGUUUGACUGGGGCGGUCUCCUCCUAAAGAGUAACGGAGGAGCACGAAGGUUGGCUAAUCCUGGUCGGACAUCAGGAGGUUAGUGCAAUGGCAUAAGCCAGCUUGACUGCGAGCGUGACGGCGCGAGCAGGUGCGAAAGCAGGUCAUAGUGAUCCGGUGGUUCUGAAUGGAAGGGCCAUCGCUCAACGGAUAAAAGGUACUCCGGGGAUAACAGGCUGAUACCGCCCAAGAGUUCAUAUCGACGGCGGUGUUUGGCACCUCGAUGUCGGCUCAUCACAUCCUGGGGCUGAAGUAGGUCCCAAGGGUAUGGCUGUUCGCCAUUUAAAGUGGUACGCGAGCUGGGUUUAGAACGUCGUGAGACAGUUCGGUCCCUAUCUGCCGUGGGCGCUGGAGAACUGAGGGGGGCUGCUCCUAGUACGAGAGGACCGGAGUGGACGCAUCACUGGUGUUCGGGUUGUCAUGCCAAUGGCACUGCCCGGUAGCUAAAUGCGGAAGAGAUAAGUGCUGAAAGCAUCUAAGCACGAAACUUGCCCCGA